UCAGAUUGACACCCAAACACUCUGAAAUGUUCGUAUUGGAGCUUCCGGUCCGAAUGCCAAGCAGUACAGCAUGUCGUUUCCAAAUUUCUGGCAGAAUGAAUUGGGUCAUGGUGCUGUGUCUCUCACAGACAGUGUCCAACUGUCCAUACUAUACUGUUUAGUCAACAAAAUUUAAAAACAGGAAUGCGUGUGCGCAAAAUUUGUACUCAC